rnacentral:rRNA from 1 species
AUGAAGUUGGAAUCGCUAGUAAUCGCGGAUCAGCAUGCCGCGGUGAAUACGUUCCCGGGCCUUGUACACACCGCCCGUCACACCAUGAGAGUCGGGAACACCCGAAGUCCGUAGCCUAACCGCAAGGGGGGCGCGGCCGAAGGUGGGUUCGAUAAUUGGGGUGAAGUCGUAACAAGGUAGC